rnacentral:rRNA from 1 species
UACUCCUACGGGGGGCAGCAGUGGGGAAUAUUGGGCAAUGGGCGCAAGCCUGACCCAGCAACGCCGCGUGAAGGAAGAAGGCUUUCGGGUUGUAAACUUCUUUUGUCGGGGAACAAAGGCGGAGACGCGUCUCCGGAUGAGUGUACCCGAAGAAAAAGCAUCGGCUAACUCCGUGCCAGCAGCCGCGGUAAUACGGAGGAUGCGAGCGUUAUCCGGAUUUAUUGGGUUUAAAGGGUGCGCAGGCGGGAGAUCAAGUCAGCGGUAAAAUGUCGGGGCUCAACCCCGGCCGGCCGUUGAAACUGGUU